CGAAAUACUUCUGAGGAAAGUUGAAGAGCUAGCAGCUAAAAACACUCUGUUUUGUUUGAGCUAAAAGGAAAGUGGAUAUUGGCUGGAAAUUGUUUUUUCUGCAUACAAUUUGCUACAGUUCCUGCCAAAACAACACUAAUGAAAAUAAACCAUUUCAGCUGGCUAUAACAAGAUUACCACUGCUCUCUCACUCACCCUUCAAUUUUCAUUGAGGAGUAAUUGGACACACCUGUAGAGAGCAUGAAUCACGGACGACUUAACCAACAAAUAUCUGACUACAAUUUGAACCAAAAGGCAGAGAUAAAGGAAAUAAACAGCUGAGGGGGAAGGAGGCACAGUUAGUGAGUACAACUAUCCGGGCACACCGCAACUUCCCAUGGAGAACUAAACAGCUCUGUCAACGCGCCACACGGAAAUAUCAAGAACAGACUUCUGCUGCAUGGCGUAUCGAGCGUGCUGAGUGCCUGAAAAAUAGAGAAAUAUUUAACCAUGUGUGGGCCGACACCCUGUCCUUGUGAGCACAUUACACUGGUUCUCCUCUGUGUCACCACCAGCUACUGGUCAGAGGACAGCCUCCUACUGGAACCGAACACACAGCAACAUGCUGAGCAGAUGUGAGAAACCCGCCCGAGGCUCUCUGUGCUGCUGGAAUAACACUCUGCACAUCAACACAUGGCCAUGUGAAGUAAAAAAACACUUGCUGAUCACGUUAUCCGCAGCAUGCCGAGCUCCUGUCCCACAGAAAGGUGGAAAGGUCAGCUGAGAGAAAAUUAGGCAGAGGUAGUGAAAGCACCUGGCUAUCCUGAUAAAGAAACAGACCGCAAUCACGUGAUCUUGCCAGACCGAUACCACUAGUGCACUUGUGUAAUAGAAGUCACCAUGUAACACUGCAAAUGGAUCUAUUAAGGAGAACUGGAUUUAUAAAAAUGCCUCUGUAGGCUUCCUCAUGCUUUUGUGUUUUUGGGCCCAUAGAAGAGCUUGCACUAGAGUCCUUCUCCAGCUGAGAUGGUUGAUAGGAAGCAUGUCAACAUGUCCUCUGGCACUCAUGAAUGGGAUAAAAUAAUUUUAUCAAAUUUUCCAUAUGAUAUUGGACUGAACACAUUCAAUUCUGAUAAUAUUUCAGGGUGUGUGCGACAGAAAACAAAUGCCACUCUUUUACCAAUAUUUGUGAAAUAUGUGAUAACAGGCCCAAUUACAUUUAAGAACAAACUAUAGCCUAGUUUGUGGAAAUUUCUGGUAGUUUUAUGCAGCAUCAACACAUUCAGAUAUGGAUUCAUUUGGAUGGUUCCUGCGUCAAUGUCAGUUCAGACCCGUAUAACCAAAUUCCAAUGUACAACCAGAAAUAAAUGUCUGUAUUUAUGCUAAAUAAGCUAAU